rnacentral:rRNA from 1 species
AGACCCGAAACCCGGUGAUCUAGCCAUGGGCAGGUUGAAGGUUGGGUAACACUAACUGGAGGACCGAACCGACUAAUGUUGAAAAAUUAGCGGAUGACCUGUGGCUGGGGGUGAAAGGCCAAUCAAACCGGGAGAUAGCUGGUUCUCCCCGAAAGCUAUUUAGGUAGCGCCUCGUGAAUUCAUCUCCGGGGGUAGAGCACUGUUUCGGCUAGGGGGCCAUCCCGGCUUACCAACCCGAUGCAAACUGCGAAUACCGGAGAAUGUUAUCACGGGAGACACACGGCGGGUGCUAACGUCCGUCGUGAAGAGGGAAACAACCCAGACCGCCAGCUAAGGUCCCAAAGUCAUGGUUAAGUGGGAAACGAUGUGGGAAGGCCCAGACAGCCAGGAUGUUGGCUUAGAAGCAGCCAUCAUUUAAAGAAAGCGUAAUAGCUCACUGGUCGAGUCGGCCUGCGCGGAAGAUGUAACGGGGCUAAACCAUGCACCGAAGCUGCGGCAGCGAACGUAUCACCCAAGACAACUUUACGGAGUUGACGAUUGACGGAGCGAAGCGACGUCAAAGCGUUCAUUAAAGUCGAGUUGGCUUAGGGAUACGUUCGUUGGGUAGGGGAGCGUUCUGUAAGCCUGUGAAGGUGUGUCGUGAGGCAUGCUGGAGGUAUCAGAAGUGCGAAUGCUGACAUAAGUAACGAUAAAGCGGGUGAAAAGCCCGCUCGCCGGAAGACCAAGGGUUCCUGUCCAACGUUAAUCGGGGCAGGGUGAGUCGACCCCUAAGGCGAGGCCGAAAGGCGUAGUCGAUGGGAAACGGGUUAAUAUUCCCGUACUUGGUGUUACUGCGAAGGGGGGACGGAGAAGGCUAUGUUGGCCGGGCGACGGUUGUCCCGGUUUAAGCGUGUAGGCUGGUUUUCCAGGCAAAUCCGGAAAAUCAAGGCUGAGGCGUGACGACGAGGCACUACGGUGCUGAAGCAACAAAUGCCCUGCUUCCAGGAAAAGCCUCUAAGCAUCAGGUAACAUCAAAUCGUACCCCAAACCGACACAGGUGGUCAGGUAGAGAAUACCAAGGCGCUUGAGAGAACUCGGGUGAAGGAACUAGGCAAAAUGGUGCCGUAA